AUGAUGGCACCCCCUAUGGCACUCCCCCCUCUUGACCUCAUCGACACCCACGAGCUCUGCCAUGACUAUCGCAAAAGCUUGGAUGCAUUCUCCCAUAUCCUCGAUAGUCACCCUGGCCCAACCAGAGGCCUUAGCAUGGGCAAGUUCCGUUCCAACGGCAAGGACCAAGCCAAGCUUGACGACUGGUUCCGAUCCCUCGCCCUAGACCAGCUCGAGGAGCUCACUUUUGAUGAUGGGCAUAUGCGCUCGCUGCCAACGUCAGCGCUUUGCCUCGCGCCCAUGCUACACGCCGCCAAGUUGAGGAACUGCCAUCCCCCCCCCCUUAAUGGCGCGCCCGCUCUUAUUCUACCACGACUGAAGCACCUCGAGCUCGUCACGUCUGCCUCCCAAAUGGUGACAUGGAGCGCCUGCUCUGUGGUUGUACUGCACUCGAGUACUUUUGUCUUCAGGCGAUCAAUGGAUUGA
rnacentral:rRNA from 1 species